rnacentral:rRNA from 1 species
UACGUAGGGAGCGAGCGUUGUCCGGAUUUAUUGGGCGUAAAGGGCGUGUAGGCGGCCUGUUAAGUCUGAAGUGAAAAUCCAGGGCUCAACCCUGGAACUGCUUCGGAUACUGAUGGGCUUGAGUGCUCUAGAGGGUAGUGGAAUUGCCGGUGUAGCAGUGAAAUGCGUAGAGAUCGGCAGGAACACCAGUGGCGAAGGCGACUGCCUGGGGAGUAACUGACGCUGAGGCGCGAAAGCUGGGGGAGCAAACGGG